rnacentral:lncRNA from 1 species
GUCGGUUUUGUUUGACUUGUUUGGUUUGUUGGGUUUGUUGGACUUGUUGGUUUUGUUUGACUUGUUGGUUUUGUUUGACUUGUUGGUUUUGUUUGACUUGUUGGACUUGUUUGGUUUUGUUUGGCUUGUUGGGUUUGUUUGACUUGUUUGGCUUGUUGGAUUUGUUUGACGUGUUGGCUUGUUGGUUUUGUUGGCUUGUUGGGUUUGUUGGACUUGUUUGACUUGUUGGGUUUGUUGGACUUGUUUGGCUUGUUGGACUUGUUGGGAAUGCGUGACUUGUUUGGCUUGUUGGAUUUGUUUGACGUGUUGGGUUUGUUGGAC